GGUGUUUCUGCAGCGACCAUAUAAACCUGUGU
rnacentral:rRNA from 1 species